AGUGAACGCUGGCGGUAGGCCUAACACAUGCAAGUUGAACGGCAGCACAGUAAGAGCUUGCUCUUACGGGUGGCGAGUGGCGGACGGGUGAGGAAUACAUCGGAAUCUGCUUUUUCGUGGGGGAUAACGUAGGGAAACUUACGCUAAUACCGCAUACGACCUACGGGUGAAAGCAGGGGAUCUUCGGACCUUGCGCGAUUGAAUGAGCCGAUGUCGGAUUAGCUAGUUGGCGGGGUAAAGGCCCACCAAGGCGACGAUCCGUAGCUGGUCUGAGAGGAUGACAGGCACAACUGGACCUGAGCACCGGCCCGGACUCCUCCGGGAGGAACCAGGGGGGAAUAUUGGACAUUGGGCGCAAGCCGGAUCCAGCCAUACCGCGGGGGUGAAGAAGGCUUUCGGGUUGUAAAGCCCUUUUGUUGGGAAAGAAAAGCAGCAGGUUAAUCCCCCGCUGUUCUGACGGUACCCAAAGAAUAAGCACCGGCUAACUCCGUG
rnacentral:rRNA from 1 species